AAUAUUGGACAAUGGGGGCAACCCUGAUCCAGCCAUGCCGCGUGUGUGAAGAAGGUCUNAGGAUUNUNAAGCACUUUAAGUUGGGNAGAAGGGCUUUAGGUUAAUACCCUGAAGUUUUGACGUUACCAACUGAAUAAGAACAGGCUAACUCUUUGCCAGCAGCCGCGGUAAUACAGAGGGUGCAAGCGUUAAUCGGAAUUACUGGGCGUAAAGCGCGCGUAGGGGGUUCAGUAAGCUGGGUGUAAAAUCCCCGGGCAUAACCUGGGAACUGCUUUCAUAACUGCUACGCUAGAGUACGGUAGAGGGUAGUGGAAUUUCCUGUGUAGCGGUGAAAUGCGUAGAUAUAGGAAGGAACACCAGAGGCGAAGGCGACUACCUGGACUGAUACUGACACUGAGGUGCAAAAGCGUGGGGAGCAAA
rnacentral:rRNA from 1 species